rnacentral:rRNA from 1 species
UGCCAGCCGCCGCGGUAAUACAUAGGGGUCUAGCGUAGUUCGGAAUUACUGGGCUUAAAGAGUUCGUAGGUGGUUGAAAAAGUUAGUGGUGAAAUCCCAGAGCUUAACUCUGGAACUGCCAUUAAAACUUUUCAGCUAGAGUGUGAUAGAGGAAAGCAGAAUUUCUAGUGUAGAGGUGAAAUUCGUAGAUAUUAGAAAGAAUACCAAUUGCGAAGGCAGCUUUCUGGAUCAUUACCGACGCUGAGGAGCGAAAGCUAGGGUAGCAAAAGGGAUUAGAUA